rnacentral:rRNA from 1 species
GAUGAACGCUAGCGGCAGGCCUAAUACAUGCAAGUCGGACGGGAUUUGGGAGCUUGCUCCCAAUGAGAGUGGCGCACGGGUGCGUAACACGUAUGUAACCUACCUUAGUCAGGGGGAUAGCCUCUCGAAAGAGAGAUUAAGACCGCAUAAAAUCACAGUAUAGCAUUAUACAAUGAUCAAAUAUUUAUAGGACUAAGAUGGGCAUGCGGAACANAGCUAGUUGGUGAGGUAACGGCCCACCAAGGCUACGAUGUUUAGGGGA